UGAGUAACACGUAUCCAACCUGCCGUCUACUCUUGGACAGCCUUCUGAAAGGAAGAUUAAUACAAGAUGGCAUCAUGAGUUCACAUGUUCACAUGAUUAAAGGUAUUCCGGUAGACGAUGGGGAUGCGUUCCAUUAGAUAGUAGACGGGGUAACGGCCCACCUAGUCUUCGAUGGAUAGGGGUUCUGAGAGGAAGGUCCCCCACAUUGGAACUGAGACACGGUCCAA
rnacentral:rRNA from 1 species